ACCUUUCUAGUAUAUAUAGUAUAAAUGACUUCCAAUCAUUUGGCCUUGGUGAAACUCCAAGGAAAGGUA
rnacentral:tRNA from 1 species